ACGAGACGAAAUGAGGAGAGAGGAGCGUUGGCGAAGAGGGCCGAUGCGUAUUUGGAACCGUGAGUCGCCGCUUGGAAUUGAAAUGGAUUUCCAUGGGACAGGAGAAGUGAACCAAUCUCUUUUUUCGUCAAUGGAUGCUACAGCUACUUGUUGACUUUGAAACUUAGCUUGUAGCCGACGUGUGCACAUUUUGAGCAUGACGUCUCUGAUCCACUGGUUAAAGGACACUUUGAUUCUCUCCUCAUUCAUCUCAAACCGCUUCAAACAACAAAGCGUGUGAUGGAAAAGUGGUUAGAACUGCAUGACUGUCCGUGUUUUAUGUUAUGUGUUGUGUUUAUUAUUUUACUUUAUGUUAGCUGUAUUGUAAAGCGCUUUGUUACAGCUGCCGCUGUUGUGAAAGCGCUAUAUAAAUAAGCAUGUAUUGUAUUGUAUUGUA